GCAUAUCAAUAAGCGGAGGAAAAGAAACUAACAAGGAUGCGCUUAGUAACGGCGAGCGAACCGCGCACAGCCCAACUUGAAAAUCUCCCUCGGAGAAUUGUAGUCUAUAGAAGUACCCUCUGCGACGGGCUGAGCUAAAGUCUCCUGGAAAGGGGCGUCAGAGAGGGUGAGAACCCCGUAAGCUCACGCUUGGUUGCCUCACGAGGUGCCUUCAAAGAGUCGGGUUGCUUGGGAAUGCAGCCCAAAUUUGGUGGUAAAUCCCAUCUAAGGCUAAAUAACGGCGAGAGACCGAUAGCGAACAAGUACCGUGAGGGAAAGAUGAAAAGAACUUUGAAAAGAGAGUUAAACAGUACGUGAAAUUGUUGAAAGGGAAACGAUUGAAGCCAGUCGUACCUUCGGGUAAUCAGCCUUUCGAGUGCGAUUCUGUGGAGCGUGAGGAGUUAAACGCCUUCAUGACUGCAUAUUCGUGCACUUUGGGUGUACUUGCCCGUGUGGUAGGUUAACAUCAAUUUCGGAUGUCAUAAAAUGGCUGGAGGAAUGUAGCUUCGGUCUCGUACUGAAGUGUUAUAGCCUCUGGUAGAUGUGAUGACCGGGAUUGAGGAUUGCAACGAAUACCUUUUGGGCUAUCCGUCUGAUCUCUGAAAGUUGCUCUGGUGCCGAAAGCUUGCUUACGGUUAUCAAAGUUUGACGUUCAAAAGGUUAGAACGGGUUAAAUUCGUUAAGGAUGUUGACGUA
rnacentral:rRNA from 1 species